rnacentral:rRNA from 1 species
GACGAACGCUGGCGGCGUGCUUAACACAUGCAAGUCGAACGGAAAGGCCCUGCUUUUGUGGGGUGCUCGAGUGGCGAACGGGUGAGUAACACGUGAGUAACCUGCCCUUGACUUUGGGAUAACUUCAGGAAACUGGGGCUAAUACCGUAUAGGAGCUCCUGCUGCAUGGUGGGGGUUGGAAAGUUUCGGCGGUUGUGGAUGGAUUCGCGGCUUAUCAGCUUGUUGGUGGGGUAGUGGCUUACCCAGGCUUUGACGGGUAGCCGGCCUGAGAGGGUGACCGGCCACAUUGGGACUGAGAUACGGCCCAGACUCCUACGGGAGGCAGCAGUGGGGAAUAUUGCACAAUGGGCGGAAGCCUGAUGCAGCAACGCCGCGUGCGGGAUGACGGCCUUCGGGUUGUAAACCGCUUUCGCCUGUGACGAAGCGUGAGUGACGGUAAUGGGUAAAGAAGCACCGGCUAACUACGUG